UCCAACGGCUUCUACCACUCCGAGCUCUCCGAAGCGUAGCCCGUGCGAGGGGUCUCAUUCCUAUAUAAACCGACACCAUCUCGUCCUCUCGCCCUCGAAAUCCGCUUCGACGCGUCCACCACUUGCGCCCGCGAUCACGUCGCGCUUCCACCGGCUCCGAUCUCCAUCCCUUUCUGUUUUACUGAUUUAGUGUGAGGUCGGUCAUCAUGUUUGGGGGUGCGCCGGGGAGUGACGGUCCCGAUUACUAUGAGAUUCUUGGUGUUGCAAAGAGUGCAAGCCAGGAUGAGCUGAAGCAGGCCUAUAAGAAGGCAGCCAUGAAGAAUCAUCCUGAUAAAGUUGGUGACGCUGAGAAAUACGAGGAGUUCUCAAGCAUAUGGAGUUCUCAGUGACCCUAAAAAGAGGGAAAUUGAUGAUAAAUACAGGAAAGAUGCCCUCAUGGGAGGUGGAGACACAUCUCAUUAUCCUUUUGAAAUAUUUGAACAUUUUUUUUGGCGGUGGGACCUUUGGAGGUGGCAACUCUAGACAUUAUAUAUACCUAGAGAAGUGGUGAAGAUGUAGUUCAUAGCUAACGGUUUCUUUAGAAGACUUGUACAACGGUGCAUGCAAAAGGAUUUCCUGGUCGAGAAAUGUGCUAUGUCCAAAAUGCAUAGGGUUAUAGAUAAGUGGAAACUUGUAGCAAAACUACUUGUCCUUUGAUUGAUUCUACUUGUCCACGAAAGGCUCCAAGAGUGGGAAAUCAGAGACAUGCCAUUCAUGUCAAGGUAGAGGCUUGAAGAUUGUAACAAGAAUGCUUGGAUUAGGCAUGAUCCAACAAAUGCAACAUACGUACGAGCAAUACAGCAGCUCAGGUGAGAUCAUCAGCAGAAAGGAUAAGUGCCCUC